rnacentral:ncRNA from 1 species
AGAUGUUUUUUAUGACUGACAGGCUUCGGGUCUUCAGGAUAUGUUUUGUGUGCAUGGCCGUUGGUGUGCGUGGGUUGACCUGUCUAGCGUUGAUUCAGCUAACGAGCGAGAUUAUCGCCAAUUAUUUACUUUGCCGAAGUCCUUCGGUUAAAGUUCUAAUUGGGACUCCCUGCGAUUUUAGCAGGUGGAAGAGGGUAGCAAUAACAGGUCCGUGAUGCCCUUUAGAUGCUCUGGGCUGCACGCGUGCUACAAUGUUAGGAUCAAUAGGACUGCGAGCCUGAGAGGGUGCGCUACUCUUAUAAUCCCUAACGUAGUUGGGAUUGACGUUUGUAAUCAGCGUCAUGAACCAGGAAUCCCUUGUAAAUGUGUGUCAACAACGCACGUUGAAUACGUCCCUGCCCUUUGUACACACCGCCCGUCGCUCCUACCGAUUGGAUGACUCGGUGAAAUCACCGGAUGCUUACGAGCAGAAAGUGAUUAAAUCACGUUAUCUAGAGGAAGGAGAAGUCGUAACAAGGUAACGGUAGGUGAACCUGCCGUUGGAUCAGUU